GUACUUUGUAUUUUUUUUUUGUUGCCACUUUAGUUGAUCGUGUGUUUUCUGGAUGGUUUUUGGUAGAGGAAGGAGGAUUUUAUGGUGGAGGUUACAGUUGCAAAUAACUAAGUCCUAACUAACCUGUGUAAUAGUUGCUAUGUGGCUGGGAUGUAGAUCGGACGCAAUAUCAUGGUGUGGUGUACUUGCAUUGUACACUUUCCUCAAGCAAUUGAGUUUUUAAUAAAACCUAAAGUAGUUUUCUUGCACAUUUUUUUUGUAACUUUUCAAAUUCACACUUGUUGAUGAGGGCAAAUAUUAAAUUAGUGCCCAAAUUUGUACAUUCAGUAAAACCUUUUUUUUUUAGAUAGGAAGAGGGAAAAAGACUUUUUCUAUAA